UACGUAGGGGGCAAGCGUUGUCCGGAUUUAUUGGGCGUAAAGAGCGUGUAGGCGGCCUGACAGGUCUGCUGUGAAAACUCGAGGCUCAACCUCGAGAUGUCGGCGGAAACCGUCUGGCUAGAGUCCGGAAGAGGAGAGUGGAAUUCCUGGUGUAGCGGUGAAAUGCGCAGAUAUCAGGAAGAACACCUAUGGCGAAGGCAGCUCUCUGGGACGGUACUGACGCUGAGACGCGAAAGCGUGGGGAGCAAACGGG
rnacentral:rRNA from 1 species